GACGGGACCCGCACAAGCAGCGGAGCGUGUGGUUUAAUUCGUUGCUACACGAAGAACCUUACCUGGGUUUGACAUAUAGGUUGUAGGGAACUGAAAAGGGACCGACCCUUCGGGAGCCUAUACAGGUGUUGCAUGGCUGUCGUCAGCUCGUGUCGUGAGAUGUUCGGUUAAGUCCGCUAACGAGCGCAACCCUCGCCUUUAGUUGCCAGCAUUAAGUUGGGCACUCUAGAGGGACUGCCGGUGUCAAACCGGAGGAAGGUGGGGAUGACGUCAAGUCCUCAUGGCCUUUAUGACCAGGGCUACACACGUACUACAAUGGCCGGCACAAAGGGCAGCAAGCCUGCGAAGGUAAGCUAAUCCCGAAAAACCGGUCUCAGUCCGGAUCGCAGUCUGCAACUCGACUGCGUGAAGUUGGAAUCGCUAGUAAUCGUGGAUCAGCAUGCCACGGUGAAUACGUUCCCGGGCCUU
rnacentral:rRNA from 1 species